rnacentral:rRNA from 1 species
AAUAGAUACCCAGGUAGUCCACGCCGUAAACGAUGAGUGCUAAGUGUUAGGAGGGUUUCCGCCCUUUAGUGCUGCAGCUAACGCAUUAAGCACUCCGCCUGGGGAGUACGGUCGCAAGACUGAAACUCAAAGGAAUUGACGGGGGCCCGCACAAGCGGUGGAGCAUGUGGUUUAAUUCGAAGCAACGCGAAGAACCUUACCAGGUCUUGACAUCCCACUGACCGGUAUAGAGAUAUACCUUUCCCUUCGGGGACAGUGGUGACAGGUGGUGCAUGGUUGUCGUCAGCUCGUGUCGUGAGAUGUUGGGUUAAGUCCCGCAACGAGCGCAACCCUUGAUCUUAGUUGCCAGCAUUUAGUUGGGCACUCUAAGGUGACUGCCGGUGACAAACCGGAGGAAGGUGGGGAUGACGUCAAAUCAUCAUGCCCCUUAUGACCUGGGCUACACACGUGCUACAAUGGAUGGUACAAAGGGCUGCAAGACUGCGAAGUCAAGCCAAUCCCAUAAAACCAUUCUCAGUUCGGAUUGCAGG